CGUUCACACGGCCUGGCCCUGGGCAGGAAGCUAGGCAGUUGGUAGCACUGGCUUGUUACCACCUUGUUCCUGUCCUCUGGUCACCCCACUGGAGCCUGGAUGAAGAAUCUGAGAUUCAGAGGGGUUAAGUGACCUACCAGAGAUCACAAAGCUGUUACUGCAAAUCUUCUGUUCUGCAAUCAGUUACUAAGUGCCUGCCCUCUGCCAAUCACUGUGCCUAAUCUC